rnacentral:rRNA from 1 species
AGAGUUUGAUCAUGGCUCAGGACGAACGCUGGCGGCGUGCCUAAUACAUGCAAGUCGAGCGAAUUUUUGGGAGCUUGCUCCCAAAGGUUAGCGGCGGACGGGUGAGUAACACGUGGGCAACCUGCCUAUAAGACUGGGAUAACUUCGGGAAACCGGAGCUAAUACCGGAUAAUUCUUUUCUACACAUGUAGAAAAGCUAAAAGACGGUUUACGCUGUCACUUAUAGAUGGGCCCGCGGCGCAUUAGCUAGUUGGUGAGGUAACGGCUCACCAAGGCCACGAUGCGUAGCCGACCUGAGAGGGUGAUCGGCCACACUGGGACUGAGACACGGCCCAGACUCCUACGGGAGGCAGCAGUAGGGAAUCUUCCGCAAUGGACGAAAGUCUGACGGAGCAACGCCGCGUGAGUGAUGAAGGUUUUCGGAUCGUAAAACUCUGUUGUUAGGGAAGAACAAGUACGAGAGUAACUGCUCGUACCUUGACGGUACCUAACCAGAAAGCCACGGCUAACUACGUGCCAGCAGCCGCGGUAAUACGUAGGUGGCAAGCGUUGUCCGGAAUUAUUGGGCGUAAAGCGCGCGCAGGCGGUCCUUUAAGUCUGAUGUGAAAGCCCACGGCUCAACCGUGGAGGGUCAUUGGAAACUGGGGGACUUGAGUGCAGGAGAGAAGAGGAAUUCCACGUGUAGCGGUGAAAUGCGUAGAGAUGUGGAGGAACACCAGUGGCGAAGGCGACUCUUUGGCCUGUAACUGACGCUGAGGCGCGAAAGCGUGGGGAGCAAACAGGAUUAGAUACCCUAGUAGUCC